rnacentral:lncRNA from 10 species
CGGAAAAGGAGCUGUCAAAGAAAUCUUAUGAAGCAAGCUGCCUACAGAAAUGUCCAUGUGUCAGGAAACUGAAGCUGGCUCAUGGUCAGCAGCCAGCAAGCUACAAAGGGCUUCCAACAGCCCAUGAAGCACUGAGUCCUGCCAAAAGCCACGUGCAUGAGCUUAGAAGAGCUUCAUCCUCCAGGCUAGGAAAGAGACAGUCGGUGUGCAGCAAGAGAAAAGAGAGGAGGAAACAUGUGGAAAGACCCAAAGAAUGAAGACACAAGAGCAUGCCUGAAUGCAAUGGGAAGUAGAUCAGUUGACCUUUGCUGAAUAACAAGGUGGACCUAAAACUGGGUGACUUGAAACAAUGAAUUUUGAUGUUCUAUGGAA